GUUCACCCCGCAAUAUUGACGUUAAACUCGGCCGAAAUUCGUUCAUAGACCCGACGUCGUCUAUUAUUUUCGAGUCCAACAGAAAAUAAUAACAUAACAUAAAAAUAAUAAUUUACUAUGCAAUACUUUUAGGUCAUAUUACGAAGAAAAAAAAAUAUAUUUAUAUUAUAUACGAAAAAACACGCCUAAAUUAUGUUCGUUUUUUUCGUAAUUACCUGUCAGUAACGGACGUUUGACAAAAGAUAUUAUGUUUGUACAGGUCGUUUUUUUUUUUUUUUUUUUUUUUUAAUUAUUCUCGAUCGUGUGCGUGCGCUUGCUCUGUAGUUUUUUAAGCGUGUGCCGCGAUGGCAUUCCGUCAUUUUAUUCUCUGUGGAUUUUUUUAUUAUUAUUUUUUUUUUAUUUUUUUUUUUUAAUGAAAUAAGAUUUUCACGGGCGGUAUACGCAGGUACGAGAACGGUUGGAAAAAUAUCGAGAAUAAUAUUUAUUUUUUUUUUCUCCGCAAACUAGUUAGUCGGACGACAAUUAUUGACAUUAAGACGUAAAUACUAUAGACCCGCGGUUUCAACGUUUCAACGAGCAGUAUCUAGUAUACCGAAAAAAAAAACGCGCGCAAAUUGCUCGCGAAGAGCGAGUAAUAUUAUAAUUUACGGGUGGAAAAUACGUACGCGAAAUCAUUAUUAUGUUCACUCUCGGGUAUAAUCGACCACGCGUGAUAUUAACGCGGAAUAAAGGCCGGGCAAUUAAGCCGAAACUUCCGAACUUUACCGCCGUCGCCGCGGCCUUUGAACGUACGGUCGACUCGUUUCUGCAGGUCUCUGAUAGUGUUGUGAAUUGUUAAAGGGCGCGCGAAAACAACGCGUGCACCUAUAUUAUUAUUAUUAUCGUGUAUUAUGCACUUACUAUACAGUCGAAACGAAUUAAUACUUAAUAAUCACUGAACGUUAGGCCGAUUAAACCGAAUCGGUGGACCGUUUUUAAAAGCGUGGUAAACUGUAUUGUAAAAACGUAGGUAAUUAUUUUUAUCUUGCGGCCGGCUACCUUGCAGCUAUAAAACCGCGCGAGAUGUUUUUUAUUUUUUUUCGUUUCAUUAAAC